rnacentral:rRNA from 1 species
AAUCAACGCUGGCGGCGUGCCUAACACAUGCAAGUCGAACGAGAAAGUGGAGCAAUCCAUGAGUAAAGUGGCGACCGGGUGAGUAACACGUGACUAACCUACCUUCGAGUGGGGAGUAACCUCGGGAAACCGGGGACGUAAUACCGCAUAACAUCUUUGGUAGUGGAAAUUUACGGUAGAUCAAAGGAAGCAAUUCGCUGGAAGAGGGGUCGGCGGCUGAUUAGCUAGUUGGCGGGGUAAC